rnacentral:lncRNA from 1 species
GGAUGUAGGACAGUCUUGUGUGGGACCUGCCAACCUCUGCUGCUGGUCCUGUGUGAAUUCGUCAAUCCAGCUUCAAGAGGAAAAGGACAGCAUCCUUCCUGAUUGUGAUCCUCAGUGCUCCUUCCCAAAGACUUGCAGCUACUGUGUGGGAGCAGGUCUCACGGUUGUAGACUGUAAACUGGCAUUUACAAGGUGGUGCACUCAGCUCCUUGAGAGUGAGCACGCAUGGUACAACAGCAGUGAAGAGGGAUUGAAAUUCUCACUUUGGGAAAUCAAGGAGGAAUUUCCUAAGAAGAGUACAUCUCGAGAGCUGUUUUACAUUUUCAUACAAUACCACAGACUGGCAGUAAGAUUCUUGGUGGAAGAGAUCUUCAUUGGAGGGUAAAUGAUAUGCAUUAGAAAAGGUGACUUAAAACUCUAAAUAUUACUAAAAGUACAGAGAAACCCAUGAAGAAC